rnacentral:lncRNA from 1 species
AUGCCCCCCCCCUUUGUUCCCUCUCAAAGGAGCUCUUUGCAGGAGAAAGCAUGUGGGAGGUGGACAUUCCCAGCCUGCAGGGGUGGAGCAGGAGCUGUAGCGCCCCCUUCCCCUCCCUCCUUCGCCCCCGCCCCGCCAUGUGUCCAGGGUGGCCGGCAUGGCUUGGUACCCCUGGCUCGGGGCGGGAUGGGAUCGACCGACGGGGGCUCCCGGAAGCCUCGGGUUCCGUCUCUGGCCUCUUCCAGGAUGGGGCGCUUUGCGCAGGACGUGGCUGUUCUUGCCCACCAGUACGAGGAGGCGCAGUCGAAGGUUUGGAUUCUGUCUGAGGAGGCGAAGGGGCUGCGCACGGAGCUGGAGGAGGCGCAGUGUCUCUUGCGGGAGGCGCAACAGAAGCGGCAGGACCUGGAGGCGCGCUGGCUGCAGGAGAAGGCGCUAGAGGCCAAGCGGCUGAACUGGGCCAACGAGCGGGAAGAGAAGAGUCGGAAGAAGGUGAUGGACCUGUGUGCGAAGCUGGAGAGGAUGCGAGAAGCUGCUGGCGUGUGAGUAUGGGGGGAGGGAAGGGAGGGACCAGAGGUGGGGGAGAAGGAGCAGGAGGGAGGGGUUUCCCCUCUCUGUGCUGGGCUGGCUGCAAAGGCAGGCCCGGCUCCGAUUUUUGACUUUAGACCAAUGUGCCAAAGAGAAAUGCAAAACUAUGGAGCAUUUCUGAUCAGGGUGGAUGGUCUCGGUAGGACCAAGGGAGGUUUGUCAGAAUUGCCAGCAGUGCCAGGGCAGCCGACUCUGUUUUGCAUGCUUGGUUUUCCUGUUAUAUUUCAUUAAAGUGAUUCUGCAUGGUAGAGGUCACAAGUGGAUUUUUGCUAACUAUAAAAUGGAUUUUAAAAACUGAAUGUUUUAAAUUGAAAGUUUGUUUUAAAAACCUUGUGCCCUCUAGUGGCCGUAAAAAUAAUUUUAAUUUGAAAAAAACCAUUUUGGGUGGUGGAGGCCUCAGAACAUGGCAUAUUGCUUCCUUUUUAAGAGUCAAUGAAGCAAGAGAACUUUGGCUGAGAGGCAGAACUUCCUGGAAAGGGCCAGAUUUAGUUCCUGCUUGUUAUUGCUUAAUAAAUAUAAAUAUGCAUGCA